CUAUGGCUCAAUCGCUGUACCACCUUCUGGUGUUUUAUCGUUGUCCAGAGAAUAACAGAUCUGUGUGAAGCACACAGCAGAAUCUGAUUCUCACAAUGUUUUUUUUUAUACAAUUGCAGAUAACAGCUUGGAGCGAAAACGACUUGAUGCUGGAGAGUAUAAGUGAUAGAAGUUACGAGGAGACUCAUCCAGGUUUGGCUAUCCGUCCCAAGCACUGGACCACAAAAAUAUGGAGAUGGACCAAAAUUUGGCGUGCAGGAAAUAAAGGUAGUCUCAGAAGAAAAAAGAAAACACACACAAAAAAAAGAAAAGAAAAAUCAUGCGUAUUCUGGUAAAGUCACUGGACCAGAUUUUGCUAAGGAAAAUCUAGAUGAUAUGCCUGAGGGGUCUUUCUUUCUGACUUUAGUCUAGAGAGCCACCCUGACUCUAGUUUUCUGAGGGGAAUGAGGAUUGGUGGUGUGACAGGAAAAAAAAUAUUUUCUAGGCACAGCACUAUGUUCAUGUUUUGACAAGCAGUUGUGUUCCCUCUCGAUGCCAUGUUUGUGUGCAUGGACAGUGGGGUGUGUCUAUAUGUGAAUUUAAGUGGUGUGAUUGUGUGCAUGUCUGUGUUUCCCCUAGAGUUAUAUCUCCCUUACACAGCAAACCUGCAAGUGUCAGCUUUCUCCAUUAAUAAUCCCUUCACCAUUGCUCCCUUGGGCAUAUCUGUCUUCUAGCUGGGUGUACUACAAUUCAGUUCUGAUGAUCACCACACAGACUGUAUCUGAUCCCACAAGUCCAGGACAAAACCUUCCACCUGACUGCCCUUACUUGAGAUACCAGCUGCACUUUACGGAUGUGCAGGCCACUGUGAAUUCAGAGAUUACCAACACUGCCACCCUAAGACUCAAUAAUUCACUAGAAAUACCUCACAGAACUUAGGAAAACACUACAUUUACUAUUCGCUUAUAAAGGACACACCUAGGGCAAGGUGUAUGGGGGGAAGGUGGCGGGGAGCAGGGUCCUAGAAGCAUAGCUUCCACGCCCUUUCUCCUGGGAGUCACAGGGUGUCUUCCCUUCAGCCCAUCAAUUGUUCACAAACCUGGGAGUUCCACUGAGCUUUGGUGUUCAGGGUUUUUAUUGGACUUUCAUUGUAAGUAGACAUGAUUGAUUAAAGACUUGGCUAUAUGACUGAAGUCAGUCUCUAGUCCCCACCCCCACCUUCCUGGAGGUUGGUUGGCCCAAACAACCCUCUCAUAACGUGGUUGGUCUUUCACUCUCAUCCAUAAGCUGUCCAGGGCCCACACUGAGCCCCCUCAUUGGCAUAACAAAGGCAAUCUUAUGCAGGAAAUUUCAAGG
rnacentral:lncRNA from 1 species